rnacentral:rRNA from 1 species
AUUGAACGCUGGCGGCGUGCCUAACACAUGCAAGUCGAGCGGUAACAGGUGUAGCAAUACAUGCUGACGAGCGGCGGACGGGUGAGUAACGCUUGGGAAUCUGCCUGUUAGUGGGGGACGAACCCGGGGAAACGUACGGGCGUAAUACCGCAUACGCACUACGGUGGAAAGGCCGGGGACCGCAAGGCCUGGCGCUAACAGAUGAGCCCAAGUCGGAUUAGCUAGUUGGUAGGGUAACGGCCACCAAGGCGACGAUCCGUAACUGGUCUGAGAGGACGACCAGUCACACCGGAACUGAGACACGGUCCGGACUCCUACGGGA